CUAAUAGAGACUGCCGGUGACAAACCGGGAGGAAGGUGGGGAUGACGUCAAGUCCUCAUGGCCUUUAUGACCAGGGCUACACACGUACUACAAUGGCCGGUACAAAGGGCAGCCACUUAGCGAUAAGGAGCCAAUCCCGUAAAGCCGGUCUCAGUCCGGAUUGGAGUCUGCAACUCGACUCCAUGAAGUUGGAAUCGCUAGUAAUCGCGGAUCAGCACGCCGCGGUGAAUACGUUCCCGGGCCUU
rnacentral:rRNA from 1 species